AUGGACACACGUCCCACCUCCAGCAGCUCCUGUCACCUCCUGCCCUGUCCUGUUUCUGCACCAGGAGGGUCCCCAGCUGCCCAUCCCUCUGCUGUGUUCCAGAGGAUGUUUUCCACAGAUUAUGGACUGGCUUGGGUGGGAGGGACCCCAGANNNNNNNNNNNNNNNNNNNNUAUCAACUUCAACCCCGGCUUCCUGGGGGGCAGAGUUGGAUUUUUGGUUUGUCUGGACAGUGUCCAUCACCACGGGCUCCCAUCUCCUGGCUGAGGCCUCUCCUUACACAGGUGACAAUAAAACGGGAGAUGAGGCUGGGAGAGCUGAAGGGGACGGUGUUUUCCCAGUCUGGGGAGAGCUCAGAGCCCCUUGCAGGGCCCAAAGGGGCUCCAGGAGAGCUGGAGAGGGACUGGGGACAAGGGCUGGAGGGCCAGGAGCCAGGGAAUGGCUGCCAGUGGCAGAGGGCAGGGCUGGAUGGGAUUUGGGGCAGGAAUUGUUCCCUGGCAGGGUGGGCAGGCCCUGGCACAGGGUGCCCAGAGCAGCUGGGGCUGCCCCUGGAUCCCUGGCAGUGCCCAAGGCCAGGCUGGACACUGGGACAGUGGGAGGUGUCCCUGCCAUGGCAGGGGUGACACUGGAGGGGCUCCCAAACCAUCCUGGGAUUCCAUGGAAUGCAGCUGCCCAUCCUGGCCAGGUGCUGCAGCCCCCUGUCCCCAGAGGUGCAGGUUUGGGUGACACCAGGCUGGGAGUGGUGGCUGUGCCCCUGGAACCCCCCCAGGCUGCAGAAAUGCCCUGGGAGAAACUCCUGCAGCUCAGACAGGAAAGGACCAAGUCCUGGGAACACGUCCAGGACAGGCUGGGGGCCACCCCAGGCCUGGCAGGGCCAGUCUGGGACUGGGGACACCUCGGUGACCCGGUGGCAGCCACGUGUCCCUGCGGGCUCAGCCAUUCCUGGGCUGGCACAGCUUUCCUGGCGAGGAGGGGACGGGGCUGCCCCCCCUGCCUGGCACCACCGAGGCCACCCUGGAGCUCCCCAGGACACGAGGGACAGGGGGGGACCGUGGCAGGGACAAAGGUGACACCUGGAAAGGCUGAGGGGUCACAGCAAGUGAAUAACUCCUGGGCCAGACUCGGGGAAACUGAGGCAGGAUCUCCUCCGUGGUGCCUGGGGAGGGGAUGA
rnacentral:lncRNA from 1 species